rnacentral:lncRNA from 1 species
CAGGAGAUAACUUUAUUGAAACGCAAAUGGCAGCAAACAGAUGAAAUCUGCUGGAUGGAGACAUGCCUGGUCGGCAGAGGACCCAGGGAAGGGUAGCCUCAGUGGCGAUGGAGGAAGGCCAUUUCAGCUGGCCAAGGCAUGGAUUUCAUUUUCAACCAAUUUUUUUUCAUUUAAAAUGAAUUACUGAGGGGACAGCCCAGCUCUCUUCGUGAUUGUUACCGCAACUAUAUACAACAAUUUGCUUUCCAGAUUCAGUUCUGCCUUUUCUACAUCAGGUAUAAAAGGGGACAGACUGGAAUGGUGAGGGUCAAAUGAGAAGAAAAUAAGACAAACAUACAGACACACACAUAUCCUGGUUUGGGAUUUUUCUACCCAGUAAGUUUUAAAAAGUGAACAUUCUUGCCCAUCCUCCACCUGAGGAAUGCCGUGCAUUUGAGAAACAGACUCUUACAUGAGCAGUGCUGUGUAAAACAGGAUAGGGAGGGGGAGGAAAGGAAGCCACCAGGGCCUGGAACUCACUAUAAAUUUGUUUUGUUAAAAGCAAUAAACCGAACAGCAUUAGGAAGUGGGGUGGGGUGCAGCAGAGCUAUAUGGGAAACUGGCUGCUGGGUGGGAGUUUGCUCUUUUUUAUCUUCCUUCUUAGAGAAAUGCCAUGGAAGCAGGAUGGUGUCACAGGAGCUGGGAGGCAGGGAGGCAGGAUGAGGCCACAGGAGCUGGGAUGCAGGAUGAGGCCACAGGAGCUGGGAUGCAGGGAGGCAGGAUGAGGCCACAGGAGCUGGGAUGCAGGAUGAGGCCACAGGAGCUGGCUGGAUGGUAAGGAGGGUUAUUUUGGUGUAAAUGUUUUACUCCUGCUCGCCUUGGACUUUAGUCCCUCCUUCCAGUGCUUAGUCCCUGAGCUCAGGAGACCCGAUACUAGUGAUUUUUAAUACUCUACACAAAAGUGCUUUUA